UACGAAGGGGGCUAGCGUUGCUCGGAAUCACUGGGCGUAAAGCGCACGUAGGCGGCUUUCUAAGUCAGGGGUGAAAUCCUGGAGCUCAACUCCAGAACUGCCUUUGAUACUGGGGAGCUUGAGUCCGGAAGAGGUGAGUGGAACUCCGAGUGUAGAGGUGAAAUUCGUAGAUAUUCGGAAGAACACCAGUGGCGAAGGCGGCUCACUGGUCCGGUACUGACGCUGAGGUGCGAAAGCGUGGGGAGCAAACAGG
rnacentral:rRNA from 1 species